CCUACGGGUGGCAGCAGUCGAGAAUUUUUCUCAAUGGGGGAAACCCUGAAGGAGCGACGCCGCGUGGAGGAUGAAGGUCUUCGGAUUGUAAACUCCUGUCAUGAGGGAGUAAGACACAGCGUUAACUGCGUAUGUGUUUGAUAGUACCUCAAGAGGAAGAGACGGCUAACUCUGUGCCAGCAGCCGCGGUAAUACAGAGGUCUCAAGCGUUGUUCGGAUUCAUUGGGCGUAAAGGGUGCGUAGGUGGCAAGGCAAGUCAGAUGUGAAAUCCCCGGGCUCAACCUGGGAACUGCAUUUGAUACUGCCGUGCUCGAGUGCUGGAGGGGAGACUGGAAUUCACGGUGUAGCAGUGAAAUGCGUAGAUAUCGUGAGGAAGACCGGUGGCGAAGGCGAGUCUCUGGACAGCAACUGACACUGAGGCACGAAGGCUAGGGGAGCAAACGGGAUUAGAUACCCUUGUAGUC
rnacentral:rRNA from 1 species